GAAAUUAAAACAAAUUAAAGUGAGAGUAAAGCACUUUAAUUUCAUUUUCCUCUUCUUCACUUCAACGAACAGUAGAGCUAUGGAGGGGUUUUAGUUUUGGCUUAUUUCCUUUAUAGAUCAAGAUUUGACUAGGGUUUCAGCAACGAUUCUGAAAGGCUCAGGUGUGGUUCGGCAUCGAAAUCGUAUCAGGUCGCACAAGACGACUGUGGACAUACUGAUGGCUUUAAGCCGUUCAUAUUACUGGUAGCUUUGCUGCAAUACUAUUUAGUGCCACAACCGGUGCUAAUUUUGGUGUGUACGGAUGGGUGGGUCGAUUUUAUCCCUACAUGGUGUGUAAGGUUGGUACGGAGAUUGUGUGUAGAGGUUGAAUUGGUAGGACCUGCAUACUGUUUACUGUUGCUGCACUGUUUACUGUUACUGUAAUGGGCCAAGACCCGAGUAUAUGACUGCUUCUGUAUUAAGAUGGGCUAAAACCCAAACUGAUUUUGCCACUGUACUGAAAUGUACUGUUCUAAGGUUGCAUGGGUCGCCCAAGAUGACUGUGAACCUACUGUAGGGUUGGUAAACACUACUUAGACCCUUAAAUGCGUGAACUGUAUGUAUGACGUAUGUACUGAACAUGAUGACUAUAUGAACUGCUACUGAAACUGAAAUGGGCUAAGGCCCGAACUGCUACUGAAACUGAAAUGGGCUUAGGCCCAUACUGCUUUUGACUGUUUGUUGUGAUUGACUGAAUGAUUGUUUUCUGUGGGGAUUACACACUGAGUUUAUGUAAACUCACCCCUUUUUGUUUUAUCUGUAGAAGAAAUCCUCAGACUUAGACGGAUCGGUGUGGCGGAGCCUCUUGGUGACCACAUGUUCGAACUGAUUGUGAUUUUGCACUUAAUAAUUAAGUGUUGAUUAUUUUGGGUUUUAUAUUAUGUAAUGCGGUCUUUACGGACUGUUUUGUUUUGAUUCAGUUGUUUAGACUGCGACUUUAUGAUUACAUAAUUGAAAAAAAAAAACUCAGAGUUUAUCGAAA